UACGUAGGCAGCGAGCGUUGUUCGGAGUUACUGGGCGUAAAGGGUGUGUAGGCGGUCGUUUAAGUUUGGUGUGAAAUCUCCCGGCUCAACUGGGAGGGUGCGCCGAAUACUGAAUGACUAGAGUGUGGGAGAGGUGAGUGGAAUUCCUGGUGUAGCGGUGAAAUGCGUAGAUAUCAGGAGGAACACCGGUGGUGUAGACGGCUCACUGGACCAUAACUGACGCUGAGACACGAAAGCGUGGGUAGCAAACAGG
rnacentral:rRNA from 1 species